AUUUGAAGAAGGUAUCUUUGGGUCUGGCUCUUGUCUAUGUUUCUUGGAACAGAACGUCACAGAGGGUGAGAAUCCCGUGCGAUGAGAUGUCCCAGACCUAUGUAAAGUUCCUUCGAAGAGUCGAGUUGUUUGGGAAUGCAGCUCUAAGUGGGUGGUAAAUUCCAUCUAAAGCUAAAUAUUGGCGAGAGACCGAUAGCGAACAAGUACAGUGAUGGAAAGAUGAAAAGAACUUUGAAAAGAGAGUGAAAAAGUACGUGAAAUUGUUGAAAGGGAAGGGCUUGAGAUCAGACUUGGUAUUUUGUAUGUUACUCUCUCGGGGGUGGCCUCUACAGUUUACCGGGCCAGCAUCAGUUUGGGCGGUAGGACAAUUGCAAAGAAAUGUGGCACUGCCUCGGUAGUGUGUUAUAGUCUUUGUCGAUACUGCCAGCCUAGACUGAGGACUGCGGCUUCGGCCUAGGAUGUUGGCAUAAUGAUCUUAAGUCGCCCGUCUUGAAACACGGACCA
rnacentral:rRNA from 1 species